rnacentral:rRNA from 1 species
UAUGACCUACGGGACGCAGCAGUGGGGAAUAUUGCACAAUGGGGGAAACCCUGAUGCAGCGACGCCGCGUGAGUGAUGAAGUAGUUCGGUAUGUAAAGCUCUAUCAGCAGGGAAGAUAAUGACGGUACCUGACUAAGAAGCUCCGGCUAAAUACGUGCCAGCAGCCGCGGUAAUACGUAUGGAGCAAGCGUUAUCCGGAUUUACUGGGUGUAAAGGGAGCGCAGACGGCAGGGCAAGUCUGAUGUGAAAGUCCGGGGCUCAACCCCGGGACGGCAUUGGAAACUGUCCGGCUAGAGGGCCGGAGG